GUCCCCAUAGACCCAUAGUGUCCCCAUAGACCCAUAGCGUCCCCCAUAGACCCAUAGAGUCCCCAUAGACCCAUAGAGUCCCCAUAGACCCAUAGCAUCCCCAAGCCAUCCCUAUGGGGUCCCCAAGGGGUCCAUAGACCCAUAGUGUCCCCAUAGACCCAUAGCGUCCCCAUAGACCCAUAGUGUCCCCAUAGACCCAUAGUGUCCCCAUAGACCCAUAGCGUCCCCCAUAGACCCAUAGUGUCCCCAUAGACCCAUAGUGUCCCCAUAGACCCAUAGCGUCCCCCAUAGACCCAUAGAGUCCCCAUAGACCCAUAGCAUCCCCAAGCCACCCCUAUGGGGUCACGGGCACUGGGUGACAUUGAAGUGUCCCCAUAGGUGACACGCUUGCUGUCCCUGCCCUAUAGCAAGCAGGUCAAUGCUGUGACUCAGGCCUUAACGAGGUGGGGCUGGCCCCAUUGAUGUCCCCUCCCCCCCCUAUGGUGGCCCCACCCAUCAGCUGGGCCCUAUAUAAGGUGGGUCCCGGUCCCGUGUCCCCAUUGAUGAUGACGACCCCAAUGAUGAAACCUCAUUGGCUGCCGUUGGCCCUCGGGGUCCUACUGGUGAUUUAUGGGGGGAUGAUACAAGGCGCUGCCUCCGAGUGCGACUCAGGAUCCCAGCUGAGCCCCCUGAUGGCCGGGGUGGAUCCCUGCAAGGAACCCACCGGAUUCCUCAGCCCCCAAACUGGGGGGGACACAGCGGGAUCCACCGGGGGGGGAGGGGGAUCCUACAGCGGACCCGGAUCCUAUGGGAGCAACUCAGGAUCCUAUGGAGGCGGAUCGGGAUCCCAAAGCGGAUCGGGAUCCUAUGGGGGCAGACCAGGAUCCCAAAGCGGAUCGGGAUCUUAUGGGGGCAGACCAGGAUCCCAAAGCGGAUCGGGAUCCUAUGGGGGCGGAUCAGGAUCCUAUGGGGGUAGACCGGGAUCCCAUGGUGGUGGAUCGGGAUCCUAUGGCGGCGGAUCAGGAUCCUAUGGGGGCAGACCGGGAUCCCAUGGUGGCGGAUCAGGAUCCUAUGGGGGUGGAUCGGGGCCAUCCCCAGGCCGAGGAAGCGGAUCGGGAUCCUACGUGUCACCGGAAUCCAGUGGGGGCAAACCGGGUUAUUAUGGGAGCAGACCGGGAUCCCAAGGGGACGGGGAUGGAUCGGGAUCUUUUGUCUCACCGGGAUCCGGUGGACCACCAGGAUCCUAUGGACUGCUGCCCUAUGGGUUGGACAGACCUGGGUCCCAAGGGGGAUCGGGAUCGGGAAGACCUGGAUCGCAAGGGGGAAG
rnacentral:lncRNA from 1 species